UACGUAGGGUGCAGGCGUUAAUCGGAAUUACUGGGCGUAAAGCGUGCGUAGGCGGUUUGUUAAGACAGGUGUGAAAUCCCCAGCUUAACCUGGGAACUGCAUCCGAUACUGGAUGGCUUGAAUUCGGGAGAGGGAUGCAGAAUUCCAGGUGUAGCGGUGAAAUGCGUAGAUAUCUGGAGGAACACCGGCGGCGAAGGCGGCUAUCUGGACGGUUUCUGACGCUAAGACGCGAAAGCGUGGGGAGCAAACAGG
rnacentral:rRNA from 1 species